GACGAACGCUGGCGGCGUGCUUAACACAUGCAAGUCGAACGGUAAGGCCCUUCGGGGUACACGAGUGGCGAACGGGUGAGUAACACGUGGGUGAUCUGCCCUGCACUUCGGGAUAAGCCUGGGAAACUGGGUCUAAUACCGGAUAGGACUCCGGACUGCAUGGUCUGGGGUGGAAAGCUUUUGCGGUGUGGGAUGGGCCCGCGGCCUAUCAGCUUGGUGGUGGGGUGAUGGCCUACCGAGGCGACGACGGGUAGCCGGCCUGAGAGGGUGACCGGCCACACUGGGACUGAGAUACGGCCCAGACUCCUACGGGAGGCAGCAGUGGGGAAUAUUGCACAAUGGGCGCAAGCCUGAUGCAGCGACGCCGCGUGAGGGAUGACGGCCUUCGGGUUGUAAACCUCUUUCAGCAUCGACGAAGCGAAAGUGACGGUAGGUGCAGAAGAAGGACCGGCCAACUACGUGCCAGCCGCCGCAGUAA
rnacentral:rRNA from 1 species